GGAUGUGAGGGCGAUCUGGCUGCGACAUCUGUCACCUCAUUGAUUGCCAGGGUUGAUUCGGCUGAUCUGGCUGGGUAAGCACAGGUGUCCCCUUCCUCCCUUACCUCUCCAUGUGUGUCCCUCCUGAAGCUGUGAGCUCGGUUGAAGGAGGACCGUUUCCUCGGUCAAGGGUAUAUGAGUAGCUGCGCUCCCCUGCUAGAACCUCCAAACAAGCCCUCAAAGAGACAGUAAAGAUUGGAGGGUGAUAUGUUCACUGUGUUUCCUGUACUAAGUUUUAUUUAUAUAAGCAUAUUU
rnacentral:snRNA from 1 species